UGUGCUUGGACGAUGGGAUAGGUUUUCUCC
rnacentral:piRNA from 1 species